UUUGUUUUGCUAUAGUCACAGCUCCUAAAUUAGUGCCUUCAUUUAUUUCUCCUCUAAUGCAGUUUUCUUUACAUAGAUCUGAGUUUCUGACCUGUAUCAUUUCCCUUCUCUCUGAAGAACUUCUUUGGGCAUUUCUUGCAAGGUGAUUCCAUUGGUAACACAUUCCCUCAAGUUUUGUUUAUCUUAGAAAGUAUUUCUCCUUCACAUUUGAAUGAUGAUUUUACUGGAUGCAACAAAUAUUUUUAAGCACCUACGGUGUACCAGAUACUUUUAUGGACAUUGGGGAAAAAACUCUGCCUUUUCUGCCAUGAAAAAAAACCUACCUUUGUUGAACCUAUAUUCUAGUGGAGGAGACAAAUACAGUAAUAAAACAGUAUGUUGGGAGGUGGUAAGUGGCACGUGCUAUGAGGAAAAGCAGAAAAGGUAGGGAGGAAGCAACAGGGUCCAGUUUUAAAUGGGGCCAUUGGGUCUCACUGAGAAGGGAACAUUCAAGCAGAUAUCUAUAGGAGCUGAGGGAGAUGGGUGUACACAAUUUACAGGUAGAGUGAAUGCAAAGGUCCUGGGGUAGACGUUUGCCUGGCAGGUUUGUGGAAUAGUAAGGAAGCCAGUAUGUCGCAGCACUGUGAGCCAGUAGGAGAGUUAGUGGAGGUGAGGUCUGAGGGCUAAUGGGAGCUUGGAAGAACUGUGACUGGUACUCGGUGUGAGAUGAGAUGCCCCUGGUGGGUGCUGAGCAGACGAGUCACUUGAUCUGACCCCAUUUUGAAAGGGCCACUCUGGCAGCUGUGGGGAGAAGAGACAGUAGGGCAAGGGUGAAGGUUGAAGCUGGGAGACAUUGAGAGGCUAUAGCAGGUAUUCAGGUGACAAAUGAAGGUGGCUUAUACCAGGGAGGUAGCCGAGGAGUGUUGAGAAAUCGCUUUUGAGUAGUUGCAUUUGUGUAACCCUAGCUAGCGUGCAGAAGAUGCUUCCUGGCUGAGGCUGGGGAAACCUCCUCCAGGAGAAUAAGAACCACAGGAUUACCAAACUCGUUUUGGGGUUGCAGUUCUUUCCUCUCCUUGACAGUAGCGGACUCUCAAGUUCCUCUAAAGAGGAGGCUGGGAUGGAAAGGGACAGGAGGGGAAGCAGCACAGGGUAUUUCCUCUUUUUUGCUCAGCUUUAUCAACAGUACUUCUUGCUUUGGUUUCACUGCCACAGCCCCCCGUGCUGUCCUGUACAGGCUGCCAUUCAGCUCCCGUUAGGUGUACCAUUCACUGGUACGAUUUAAGGCAGUUUUGCAGUUGUCCAGACUAGAGGAUGGGUGUGAGGGUAAAGGAGCCUUUCGCUUCUUUGCCAGACACUGAGCACAAAACUCCACGCUGGGAGCAGCCUGGUCACAUUUCAGAGUCUUCUCAGGAGGCUGGGGGGCAGCUCCAGGGCUGUGGGUUUUCAAAGCCUCAGUUAUUCUGUGAGAGCACAGGAAAUAGCCAUGGAAACAUGCAAGAUUUAUUUUUAAUUUUUAGGCUUUAUUUUUAAUGCCUACCUUCACCCAGACCCCCUUUUUCAUAAAAGUGCUGUAAGAACUUAUCCACAAUAAUUAAGCCCCUUUUCUCAUCUUUCUCACUUUUUGGACAAUUUCCUCCAAUUAUUAUGCUUUCCGAGGAAAGCCCAAAGCUUUGAAAAAUAGUCUCACUGCUUUCUGCCUCCACCUCUCCCUCCCCUCCAGCACGUUCCUGGUACUCGGGGAGAGGCCCGCUGGCUCUGAUGAUGCGGUGACCUCCAUGGGGCUUGUUUCUUCACUGCCAGGCAGCCUUGGUGGAACACCCUUGGCCUAGAAAUUCAGCCACAUUGAGGGUAUUUCCUCCUGCCUCGCGAUUCUAAAAGCCCUCUGGAAUUCUGGAAUGUGUCUGCUCCUAGCAGCAGGGAGGAAGUGUGUAACUAGAGAGGAGCCUAUUCAGCAGGUGUCAUGACUGUGGCUUGGCGUGGGUGACGCACCCACGUCCAGGGUGACUUAACCAUCUUAUGAUGGACCAGCGAUUAAAGGAGACUCAAACACCACUACACCCCCCUGGUUGAGGACAGAGCUCACCUGUGUUGUUUUGUUUUGCUUUCUUUGUUUUGCUCGGUCGUCCAGGUGUGAGUGCAAUGGCACCAUCACAGCUUACUGCAGCCUCGACAUCCCGGGCCAAAGCAAUCCUUCCACUUCAGCUUCCUGAGUAGCUGGGACUACAGGCGUGCACCGCCAUGCCUGGCUAAUUUUUGUAUUUUUUGUAGAGACGGGGUCUCACUAUGUUACCUAGGCUGGUCUUGAACUCCUGGGCUCAAGCCACCCUCCCACCUCAGCCUCGCAAAAGUAGUAGGAUUACAGUCAUGAGCCACCAUGCCUGGCCCUCACCUGUGUUUUAACAACACAGAGAGAUGAUUGUAUUUAAUAAACCGUGGACCUGAAAAAUCGGAGACCUAAUGCAAAUACUUUUCCAGCUCUAUUUAGAAACGAACUCCUUCCUUCCUGAUUGCUGUGACCCAGUUUAAAAUCUUAGUUGUGGUCCCUGAUGCAGAGACAGCAGAGUUCAAUCUAGGUGGUCUGACUGCAGCCAAUCAGAAUUCUCCUUCUGAAACAUGUUUCUGUAGAGUGAAAUUUUUAAAUCCCUUUGACAAGUUGGACAAGCUCAUGCAUAGCACACUCGACUUGAAAACUCUUCUGGCAUAAAAACAUUCUUGAGUUAAUAAUGUUACCCCUUAUAACAGAAAGGAAGUCCUGUCCUGUAAGCAUAUACAUGAGGAGGUUGUAAAGUGAUUUGAAAAGUUUGGAAUCACGGGAAAUAUUUAGUGGUAGGAUAGAAAUGUUCUUUCUAAUCUAGUAAUGUAGUAAUGUCCUGGGUCGUGUGCUUUUUUAGGUGCCGCGAGUCUUUAUCGGUAAAGAUUGUAUAGGCGGAUGCAGUGAUCUAGUCUCUUUGCAACAGAGUGGGGAACUGCUGACGCGCCUAAAGCAGAUUGGAGCUCUGCAGUAACCACAGAUCUCAUAGGAAAUGUUCAACAAUUCUGUGAAAGGUCACAGGACCCAAUUGGAGAAAUCAUAUGAAAAGCAUAGUUGGUCUUGGUGUCAUAUGGAUCAGAGGCACAAGUGCAGAGGCUGUGGUCAUGCGGAACACUCUGUUAUUUAAGAUGGCUAUCCAGAUAAUCCUGAACACUGUGUAUUUAUUUGAUUUAGACUACCAGCAAAGAUUAAAGCAUGAAGUGUAAAACAUCUGAGAAAACUUACAGCCCCCUACACCAAGAGUAUAUCUGUGAAAGAGCUCCUACACUUUGAAAACUUAAGAAUCCCUUAUCAUGAAGUUUGCCUGUUCUAGAAUUGUAAGAUUGUUAAUUUCCUUCAGUCUCUAGUGACAACACUUAAUUUCUUUUCUAAUAAAAAAAUACCUAUAGAUG
rnacentral:sRNA from 1 species